CUUCGGUCAAAGCCUUCGGGCGCCAAAGGAUGAGCCUGCGUCGCAUUACCUAGUUGGUGGGGUAAAAGCCUACCAAGGGGACGAUGCGUAGCUGGUCUGAGAGGAUGAUCAGCCACACUGGGACUGAGACACGGCCCAGACUCCUACGGGAGGCAGCAGUGGGGAAUAUUGCGCAAUGGGCGAAAGCCUGACGCAGCUACGCCGCGUGGGUGAUGAAGGCCUUCGGGUUGUAAAGCCCUGUCGGGAGGGACGAAGUUCUGACGGUACCUCCCAAGAAAGCACCGGCUAACUCCGUGCCAGCAGCCGCGGUAA
rnacentral:rRNA from 1 species